AUUGAACGCUGGCGGCAUGCUUUACACAUGCAAGUCGAACGGUAACAGGCCGCAAGGUGCUGACGAGUGGCGCACGGGUGCGUAAUGCAUCGGAACGUGCCCAGUCGUGGGGGAUAACUACUCGAAAGAGUAGCUAAUACCGCAUACGAUCUAUGGAUGAAAGCGGGGGACCGUAAGGCCUCGCGCGAUUGGAGCGGCCGAUGUCAGAUUAGCUAGUUGGUGGGGUAAAGGCUCACCAAGCCAACGAUCUGUAGCUGGUCUGAGAGGACAACCAGCCACACUGGGACUGAGACACGGCCCAGACUCCUACGGGAGGCGGCAGUGGGGAAUUUUGGACAAUGGGCGCAAGCCUGAUCCAGCAAUGCCGCGUGCAGGAAGAAGGCCUUCGGGUUGUAAACUGCUUUUGUACGGAACGAAACGGCUCUGGUUAAUACCCGGGGCUAAUGACGGUACCGUAAGAAUAAGCACCGGCUAACUACGUG
rnacentral:rRNA from 1 species